rnacentral:rRNA from 1 species
GAUGAACGCUAGCGGCAGGCUUAACACAUGCAAGUCGAGGGGUAGAGGAAGCUUGCUUCCUUGAGACCGGCGCACGGGUGCGUAACGCGUAUGCAAUCUACCUUCAACAGGGGGAUAGCCCAGAGAACUUUGGAUUAAUACCCCAUAGUAUUUUUGCCUGGCAUCAGGUGAUUAUUAAAGUUCCAACGGUUGAAGAUGAGCAUGCGUCCCAUUAGCUAGAUGGUAAGGUAACGGCUUACCAUGGCUCCGAUGGGUAGGGGUCCUGAGAGGGAGAUCCCCCACACUGGUACUGAGACACGGACCAGACUCCUACGGGAGGCAGCAGUGAGGAAUAUUGGUCAAUGGGCGCAAGCCUGAACCAGCCAUGCCGCGUGCAGGAUGAAGCAUCUAUGGUGUGUAAACUGCUUUUGUACGGGAAGAAACACCGGUUCGUGAACCGGCUUGACGGUACCGUAAGAAUAAGGAUCGGCUAACUCCGUGCCAGCCGCCGCCGUAAGAC